rnacentral:tRNA from 1 species
UCCCUGGCAGCCCAGUGGUUAGGACUGAGCAUUUUCAGUGCUAUGCCCUGGGUUCAAUUCCUGGUUGGGGAA